GUACGAAAGAGAAGCAGCACAGCCAGGCCACAGCCCACACUGCCAAGAGAUGCAGAUGGUGCCAAUGCAUGCGCCCACCACAGGGCUCGGUUACUGUGGCUAGUAGGCCAACCAAGAGACGCCGGCUUGAGGCUGAAUCUCCAGCACCAGCAUCACCACCCCAACGGCGCAUCUCCGCAGUGUCGGCCCUGCCACCAAUAGCUCUUUUGGCCAGCCCACAAAGUGAGGAUCCACAAUCACCUCAGUUGUCUGAACCAGCCAUCAUGACUGAGGAUGCCCAGCAGGAAAGUGACCAGCAGGAAACCUACACCCUAAACCUGCAUCCCAUCGAUCCUACCCAGCCAACCACGCCGUAGGACAUACCCCAACCACCCCAAACAUCCCACAUCCCCCAAUUGAGCACAACACCACCCCAGACACAAAUAGGCCCUGAGUUUUGGAGCCGUUGGGCCUCACAACAGGACCAAAACUAUGCGUGCCACAACACCCACAGCCAAUACCUGGUAAGUCUGCCCCAUCAUCUGCCUAGACUGAGUCGAAACUCAGGCAGACUUAUAGUUCAGGUGGGCAGAAUUGCCAAUUCUAUGGAGCAGAUGAGGGCAGACAACUCCCAAAUGCAAGACAAUCUCCAACGCAUCAUGGAUGAACAACAGCGGCAGCACCAAUCCCUAAUUCAGCUAAUCCAACACAACCAAAUUGUAAACGACAACCUGUCCAGAAUAAUAGCUAGCAACACUGCCGCUAAUACGCAACUGACUGCAAGCCUCAAUAUACUCAGUCAAAGCCUUAAUGUGUUGGCAUCACACCAAGUCAGCUCUAGCUCGGGAACAACUACACCAAGCCAGACCCCAGUUCAAUCCCCAGUUAGACGCUCCAGUAGAACCGGGACCAACGAGCCAGCCCAAUCCUCGGCACCCAGCACACACACACAAAAUUUUUUUAUCAUGCCUGCUGAUA